rnacentral:rRNA from 1 species
CACAUGCAGUCGAGCGGKAACAGAAAGUAGCUUGCUACUUUGCUGACGAGCGGCGGACGGGUGAGUAAUGCUUGGGAACAUGCCUUGAGGUGGGGGACAACAGUUGGAAACGACUGCUAAUACCGCAUAAUGUCUACGGACCAAAGGGGGCUUCGGCUCUCGCCUUUAGAUUGGCCCAAGUGGGAUUAGCUAGUUGGUGAGGUAAUGGCUCACCAAGGCAACGAUCCCUAGCUGGUUUGAGAGGAUGAUCAGCCACACUGGGACUGAGACACGGCCCAGACUCCUACGGGAGGCAGCAGUGGGGAAUAUUGCACAAUGGGCGCAAGCCUGAUGCAGCCAUGCCGCGUGUGUGAAGAAGGCCUUCGGGUUGUAAAGCACUUUCAGUCAGGAGGAAAGGUUAGUAGUUAAUACCUGCUAGCUGUGACGUUACUGACAGAAGAAGCACCGGCUAACUCCGUGCCAGCAGCCGCGGUAAUACGGAGGGUGCGAGCGUUAAUCGGAAUUACUGGGCGUAAAGCGUAC